GCUCCAGUAGAGGUGAGUAUAGUGUAGUGUUGUGUAGUGUAGUGUGCUGAGGCUCCAGUAGAGGUGAGUAUAGUGUAGUGUUGUGUAGUGUAGUGUGCUGAGGCUCCAGUAGAGGUGAGUAUAGUGUAGUGUUGUGUAGUGUAGUGUGCUGAGGCUCCAGUAGAGGUGAGUAUAGUGUAGUGUUGUGUAGUGUAGUGUGCUGAGGCUCCAGUAGAGGUGAGUAUAGUGUAGUGUUGUGUAGUGUAGUGUGCUGAGGCUCCAGUAGAGGUGAGUAUAGUGUAGUGUUGUGUAGUGUAGUGUGCUGAGGCUCCAGUAGAGGUGAGUAUAGUGUAGUGUUG